GUCGCACACCCUUCACCACAGACAGAGGACCAAUCCACCUCUUUCUGGUAUACUGAGAAAUGUUUCUGAGCUCUUCCUUUUCCCUGAAUAAGAGUGAAAAUAGCAGGUGAGCUGGGGCCAAAGACUUAAACUGGGCACUGCAGGCUGUGGGCCUCAGUAAUGGGAUGUGCUCAGAGCGCAUGAUGGAUGCCUUCUCCUCUCCAUCUUGUCAGCAGAUCUCGGACUGCGUGUAUAACCUCAUUUGGGGAUAAUAUCAAGAGCCCAUAUCUGAGCCCUUUGAGAGAGGGUUCUCCGUAAACCCCAGAUGCUUGGCCACCCUGCCCUGGCUCGGGUUCUCUCUGCUCGUCCCUGACACGGCAGCCUGGACCAGCUCUAAUGAGAAGGAACGUGAAGCCAGCCAUCCUGAAUUUCUUUGUAUUAUAACCAGAAUCCUCGUCCUUUUCCAUCAAGCAGCUCUAGGUCAGGAGCCACUCCACUCAGGGCUUCUGUUCUGUCCACCUGUGUCUGGGAAAGUUUUGCAUACACACACACACUUUCUCACACACACUCACUCACACUCACUCAUUCAUGUUCUCAUGCUUGCACCCACACAAGUACGCUUUAAAAGACACACUUUGAAAGACAGUGUGGUUUUAGAAGUAGAUUCUGGCCUUUAGAAGCAAACUCUGGCCGUCUGAAGCUCUCUUCCAACCCUUAUGAGUGGUCCCUUAAAGAGUCAUUUGUCCUCUCUAAGCCUCAAUUUUCCAGAUCUUUAAAUUAGAUCCAGAAAAGAUCUGCCUCAUAAGCCUUUGAGGCAGGAUGUCUCUGAGAUAUUUGUAAAAGUACCUAGUACAUAACUUCUUCAUGGCACAGGGCAAGCCCCAAACCACAGAGGGGUCGGCAAACCCUCGGCUGAAGCCCUGGAAGUCACUCAGGCCUAUGCUUACAGAGUGAGGCUGGAUGGGGAAGGCAGAGAUGAGGGAAUGACAGUGAUCAAAAAUGUUGGUUCGCUCCUCAGUCUUUCGUAAAUUAACAAAUCAAAGACCUGCACAAGGAAAUAAUCAAUACUGGACAUGACCCAGGAGAAAUUCUGUCCCCAUCCAGGGAAUGAGGUGGCAGACACAGAAGACAAAGGAAAGCUUGCCAUUCCUUAGAAGUCUUUCUGGAGACCGUGUGCAAUACAGCCUCUAAAUAAAUGGUCUUCUACAGCUGACCGAGCAAGAAGGCCCCCACACAAUGACCCAUCGUUAGCUGUAGCUGCAAAACUGGAAGAACAGGGACUUCGCUGGUGGUCCAGUGGUUAAGAAUUCACCUGCCAACGCAGGGAACAUGGGUUCAAUCCCUGGUCUGGGACGAUCCCUCAUGCCACAGAGGAACUAAGCCCAUGCAUCACAACUACUGAAGUCUGUGUGCCCUAGAACCUGCUCUGCAACGAGAAGCCACUACAAUGAGAAGCCCCUACACACAGCUAGAGAGUAGCCCCAGCUCUCCAAAACUAGAGAAAGCCCGCACACAGCAACAAAGACCCAGUGC
ensembl:lncRNA